CAGCCGCCGCGGGAAUACGAGGGGGGCAAGCGUUGUUCGGAAUUAUUGGGCGUAAAGCGUGCGCAGGCGGUUAUAUAAGUCAGAUGUGAAAUCCCCGGGCUCAACCUGGGAACUGCAUUUGAGACUGUAUGGCUAGAGUGUGUCAGAGGGGGGUAGAAUUCCACGUGUAGCAGUGAAAUGCGUAGAUAUGUGGAGGAAUACCGAUGGCGAAGGCAGCCCCCUGGGAUAACACUGACGCUCAUGCACGAAAGCGUGGGGAGCAAACAGGAUUAGAUACCCCAGUAGUCCCUGUCUCUUAUAC
rnacentral:rRNA from 1 species